rnacentral:rRNA from 1 species
GACGACCGCUGGCGGCGUGCUUAACACAUGCAAGUCGAACGAAGUGGCGAACGGGUGAGUAAUACGCGAGUAACCUGCCCUCCUUUUUGGGAUAAGCCUUGGAAACGGGGUCUACUACCGAAUAAAGGGGGAUGGGCUCGGGGCCUAUCAGCUUGUUGGUGGGGUGAUGGCCUACAAAGGCGGUGACGGGGGGACGGCCUGAGAGGGUGACCCGUCACGUUGGGACUGAUAUACGGCCCAGCAUCCUACGUGAGGGAGCAGUUGGGGAGAUUGCACAAUGGGCGAAAGCCUGAUGCAGGGACGCGGCGUGGGGAAUUAAGGCGUUAGGGGUGUAAACCUCUUUCGCAAACGAUCGGGUGGGUGGGGAAGAAGCGCCGGCUAACUACGUGCCAGCAGCCGCGGUAAUAC